GUGGGGAAUCUUAGACAAUGGGGGAAACCCUGAUCUAGCCAUGCCGCGUGAGCGAUGAAGGCCUUAGGGUUGUAAAGCUCUUUCAGCUGGGAAGAUAAUGACGGUACCAGCAGAAGAAGCCCCGGCUAACUCCGUGCCAGCAGCCGCGGUAAUACGGAGGGGGCUAGCGUUGUUCGGAAUUACUGGGCGUAAAGCGCGCGUAGGCGGACCAGAAAGUUGGAGGUGAAAUCCCAGGGCUCAACCUUGGAACUGCCUUCAAAACUCCUGGUCUGGAGUUCGAGAGAGGUGAGUGGAAUUCCGAGUGUAGAGGUGAAAUUCGUAGAUAUUCGGAGGAACACCAGUGGCGAAGGCGGCUCACUGGCUCGAUACUGACGCUGAGGUGCGAAAGCGUGGGGAGCAAACAGGAUUAGAUACCCCAGUAGUCC
rnacentral:rRNA from 1 species